rnacentral:misc_RNA from 1 species
CUCAUAGCACUGCGCAAUUCCGUGUUUCGUAUCGGUAUGAAAUGUAUUAUAUUAUAAUGUAUAACUGUGUAUUAUUUUAAAAUAUGCACAUAAUGGCAUUGCGAGUUCAGUGCAUUGCGUCGAACAGUUACUGCGCAACAAGUGAAUAAAAUCGAGUACGAUAAUUGCGCGGGAGGCAGUUGUUCGACCGAUCGCCGUUGACAUGGGCGCCGCUGCAAAAAACGCCCGUCCUCACGUGGUCACCAGGUGGAUUGGUUUACCUGUGCCAGCUAUCGGAAGCUCGCUUGUCGUUGAAAGAGAGCCUUUGCCGCAGCACGCUGCGCACGUUGGCGGCGCUGGGGCUAGGAGACGCCCACUUGCGAGGCCUGUUGCUAUACCACCUGCAUGCUUCGCUGGCGGAACGCGCCCG